GAAAUCUUCCAUAGAUAACCUUGCAAAAGUACGUGUAUCUAUAUUAAUAGAAUAAGAGCCUAAGGAAUCUUAAAACACAAUUUUUGGAUUGCCUAUUUUACCACUAUUAUAUAUUAUUUUAAAAUUAUUUUACAUAUUAUAUAUUAAUAGGAAUAUAUUAAUUCAUUAGAUAUUACACUAAAUCUAUGUGAUAUAUUUCUAUAGCUAUUGAUAAGGCUUAUAAAUAAAUAUAUAUCCAUCUAAUAAAUUAUCUAAUAAAAGUAAUGAAUUAAUAGAUUUUUUAAAAUAAUAAAUUAUCAAAUAAAAUAACAUUAAUUACACACGUACGUUCUUUCUGCUAGCUAGUUAAAUAAAAAGAAGAAGAAACUGAGACUGAAAAAGGGAGAAUUAAGAUAGUCCAUUAUUAUCGUCUUAUUUUUAGAACUUAAACGAGAGAAAAGUCCAUCGCUAGUCCUAAUUUACAACACAACACAACACAUGAUAAUAAAUUUAAAUCACACAUAUUGCCGGAUGUACCCUUCCUCCUCUUUGCCGGCGGCGGCAUGCACGAGGGUGGACGUGAAAUACCACGAGACGAUGUCGUGCACGGCGUCUUGGCCUCCGGUGGCCGCGGAGAUCCCGACCUGAACCUGCUGAGGAAGAAUGGCGCUCAGGUCGUACACAUAGCUCACCUCGUAUGUUUGCGAGCCGGCGGCGAGGCUCACGCUGAUCAGCUUAGUGGCUUCCAGGUAGUUGAUGCGCGCAGUCACCUGCUGCCCGAGCAACGCGUUGCCGACGUUGGUCACGUUUUUGGAAACAUUAGAUUCGAUGUCGAUCCCGAUAUGGCGAUAGCUAGGAUCCACUCCGGGGUUGGAGAAGACGUCGAAUUCCACGGCGAAGACGGCGGGGCCGACGCCGGAGGAGUUGAAGAUUCCGAAGCAGCCGCCGGUGAAGCCGAGGGGUAAGCCGACGGGGGCGAUGAAGAAGGUCACGCCGUCGGCGGGGUUCGUGUCGCCUGCGUUGGGGGUUACGGCGAACGUCAGGGUGGUCUCGAAGUCGACCUGCGCGCCGGCCUCCCAGAACGUGAUCGGGGCUGAGUACACGGCCCGGCCGACGCUGUACUGGACCGCGCUGCCGGAGCUGGUGGUGUUGGUCAUGCGGAGGAAGGUGGAGUCCGACGGGAAGUGGGCGUCGCCUUGGUAGAGGAGAUCGGUCGGCUGGUCGCCCCAGAAGUCGUACGUGAAGGCUGUCGAUUGGGACUGCAUGCGCCGUGUUGGCGGCGGUGGCGAGGAGGAGGGCGAUGGAGAUUAGGGUUUGGAGAAGCUUGGCCAUGGCUUAAUUGAGUUAGUAGUAUUUGCUUUGGAUGUGGUGUGAUGAUGGUGUAUUGGUGUUAACUCUUGCUCCUAUUUAUGCUAGUAUAGUGCUUGAAUGAAAAUGUUAUUUAAAUUAACAUCAUAUUUUUUAUUACACAAAAAUGACUCACCCCAUCUUCUCGAGAUUAACUGAACUUGUGAUCUCUAAUAAUUUAUAACCUACCACAUUGUAGUUGUUGGAGUAUACUCCCUCUGUCCCGGUUUUAGCACGAGUUUUAAUAAAUUGGUUGAUUGUAUUAUGAGUAGAAUAAGGAUAAUAUUUUUUAUGGAAGUGUUAAAAUAAUUAAAAUUGAGAAAAUGUUUCACCUAUUUUUAUUAAAAAUAGAAAUGAAUUUUAAAAUAUGGGACGACGGCCAGAAAAAGAAAAUAUAUAUGGAUACUAAAAGUUGGGACGGAGUGAGUAUUAUCUAUAGUGGUAUCUAUUGUAUGAGUACAAGAGAUUUACUUGACUUGUUGAGGUAUGGAGAGAUUAUUACAAACCACGUGAAAUUGAGUUCUUGCUCCCACUGUAAAAGCAAUAAAUAUAGGGAAAAGAAAAUUAAUACUUCCUUCGUCCAAGAAAUGAGUACACAUAUUUCUUUUUUAGUCCGUUCAUGAAAUGAGUACUCAUUAAUUUUUCUUUUUAUCAAGUGUACCUCACACAACCCUUUAAUUAAUUAAUACCUUUAAAAAGUGGGUCCCUUAUUCCACUAACACCACACUCAAUCAUUUCUUAAAACCUGUAACGUCCCCAAAUGAGAUUCAUUUCGUGGAUUGAGUAAAUUCUAUACUACAAAUUAAUGGUUCGAAUUCACUUUAAAAAAUAAACUACAAUUAAGAGUCCCUCUCUUAAUUGGAAUUCAUAGACCAUCUGCUUCAGUCGUGCCCGAAGACAGAAAAGGUUUGGAUUGGAAUUCAUAGGUGGCUAGGGAAUAAAAGCAGUGUGGCCUCAAUCAUUGAAGCACACUUCGAUUUGUUCACAAAUCUUGACAAAGGAAAGGAAGGUCGAUUUUUCUAGCGACAGUAUGGGUCUAUACCAUUUGGUUGCUGUGGAAAUGACGUAACGAGAGCAGAUUUGAGGGCAAGACUUGGGAGAUCAAUGACGUGAUCGAAGAAGUGAAAGUGAGGAUGUGGAGUUGGAACAAGAUUUUUGGACUACAUGUUAAAGAGAUUAGCUCUCAAUCUUGGUUUUCUUGUGAAACUCCUCUUGUUUUGUGUAAUUUGGUCGUAUCUCUGGUACCAAACUCUCUCCUAAUAAAAUUUCUUUUCUGAUUAAAAAAAAAAAAAAGAGUCCCUCUCUUAAUCAAGUAGACUGGAUGCGGUAAGAGAGAAAUCACUUCCAACUUAUCGAUUUUACUAGCAACAACUAGAUUUAUACUGAAGCUAAAUUGGAUCAGACUCUAGGAUUCACUAGUCUUUUACUCAAGGUGAGUCGGUUUACGAGUCUCAAACUCAAGGUGAACUAGAAUGUCUGUCAAUACGAACGUUGGGAGUUCGAGGGUUUUUUAGGACAGUAACUUAGAUUGAUUUGGAAAUUAGGACAAUAACUUUCGGACUUGUAAAAAUAGGACUCUAAUUCUUUUUAAGAGUAAAAUAGGACACUAAUUAAUAAGUGUUACAUCCGCAGGACAUUUUUCGGCCAAUUAUCGGCCGAGAAAUGUCCUACUUUUACGACGCUUAUUAAUUAGUGUCCUAUUUUUACAAAUUCGAAAGUUUUGUCUUAAUUUUCAAAUCAACAUAAGUUAUUGUCCUAAAAAAUCCCCUGACUCCGAACGUUGGAACAAGCUCGGCAAUAUACUGCUAUUCAACAUUAAUGGCACUUUGCACUAAAUGAAUUGGUGUCGAAUUAAUACAUCGUCUUGCUGCUCAUAUCUAUAUAAUAAAUGCAUACCUGCACCUCGAUAUUAAUCAAUUUAGAUACACUAAAUCUCGGAUAUACUUAACAAAUGGAUUAAUAAAUGUAUAAAUUUUAGAUUUCAGAAAAUCAAAUACAGGUGUUCAUAAGGAAAUGAUUAAAAACCCGUGUGUCAUUUAGAUAAGAUUAUUAUAGUACAGUUAACGAUGGUGAAAUAUUCUUUUACAUUAGAUAUAAUAGCAUUCCAGAUCUCAAUGGCAUUUUUUGUUAUAACAAAAAAAAAUUGUAUAUGUUCCAUACUAUCCUCAAACUUCAAAUUAUUAUUUUUCUUUAUUUUAAAAUUUGUAUUGGCACAUAUCUGUCAAUUAAUCAAAUUCAUAUCAAAACAAUAAUUCGAAUGAUAUAUUAGUUGGCUAGCUAUAAAUUACAAAUUAUUAGUGAUUAGGCAUGUUUUACACAAAUUAUUAGCCCAAACAACAUUUGAUUGUGUGCAAUGCACACACUUACUAAAAGCAGAUGUGAUCAUCUGUCCCACAAUUUAGUGUGUAUCACCGUGUACCAUUCUUAAUUUGUCUAUUUUAUAAUUAUUUGUUGUAAAAAUAAAAAAAAUAUUGUUAUAUUAUGAACUCUAAUUAAAAUUUAUAACUAAAAAUAAAAAUUAAAAAAAAUUAUAUACCCUAACUUUGAAUUAAUUAACCCAAAUAAUCAAUUAUUAAUUCAAAUAAAUAUAAAAAAUAAUUAUAAACUCUAAUUGAAUGAGUGAACCCUUAUUAAUUAGUUUCUUAUUAUAUUAUAAUAAAUUAAAAUUGAAGAAAAUAUAAUUAUAUAUUAUAAUAAAUUAAGAGUGGUACACGGUGGUACACACUAAAUUGUGGGACAGAUCCAUGUGCACUAAAUUAUAGGUACGGAGGUGCGGAUGCGGGGGCGAUACGAUACGAGUACGGGGAUACGGGUUCUAAAAAAUUAUAGGGUGCGAUUCGGCAAGGAUACAUCUAAUUAUUAAAAUUUUAUGAUAUACUAAUUGUUAGAAAUGGAUAUUGGGCCAAUUCCUCCCUUAAAAGGCCUUAUAAGGGAGAGGGUUACCUCACCAUAUAAAGUGGCUCAUGCCACUAUCUCCAAUCCAAUGUGGGACACUUCAAUACUAAUGCUUAUAAAAUAUAUACAAUUUAAAUUUUCUUAAAUUAAUUAUAUGUAAUUUACAUUUUAUUUUACCCAAAAGUUAAGCAUUUUCAAUUAUAUAAGUUAAUUGAGCAACAAUAUAACGAUUCAAAUAUUAUUAGUCCAAUAUAUAAGUCAUAACUGAAAAUAAAAUUAUCAAAAUAACCUUGUGUAGGCCUUUCGUGCACGAGAUACGUGAAUUUCGCCUAUGGAAUUUGCAAAUCCGGUUUAUUUUUAUAAAUUGUUUUAAAAGAUACGCACUGGUGAAUCGGUGCGAAUCCGACAAGAAUUCGAGAAAUCACACCCUAAAAGAAUCCGAUUCGCCGUACAUCUAAUUUUUGAAGAAUCCGUGCAUCAUAGGUGAGAAGAAACACAAGAGAGUAAAAUGGUACAUAAUGUAGAAAGACUUUUCUCCAAAAUAAAUGUUACAGUCUUCUAAUAGUCGAAAGGCGCAUGAAAAUGCGCAGUUAUUCGAAAGAAAGGAAAGGCUUAUUCAGCCACACAAUGACAUGGAAUUCGAAUUGAAAUUGAAAUUCAGACAAAUCCCAAACACGGUGAUGCAGAGAUCAAGCGGUAACACGAGGAAUGAUCUUAAUACCACCGAUGGUAACUUCGUCGCCGUUAAUGUGGGGAACGAUGGUGACGACAAUGAAAUCAUCAUCAGCAAUAUUGAUGUUCUCAUAGAGCUCCCUCAAGUUCAAGCGAAGGUCGUUGGCGCUUUCCGCAGCCCUAACCCUAUGCGGAAUCUGCGUGAAACUGCCGGCGAACUCGGCCCUGGCGAGGUCCUCUGGCUUGUCGUCUUCGUCAUUCACGAACACAUCGAACCUCACGAGCUUCGAACUAUCGGUGAUUAUGUUCUCCAGCACGAGCACUUCGUCGGCUUUGCCUUUGGUUGGUUUGGGCACCAAAACCCUGUGAGUCUUGUUGAGAGUGAGAGGGAACAGAUUGUCUCCACUCUCUGCCCUCUUGGAGAGAUCUUCGAUAUUCACCGGCACCUCCCUCCGCGGUGGCCGGUAGGCUGUCCACGGAGUUUCGCUGUGUUCAUACACGUAUCCCAUUUUGGUGUGGUCCAAGCAGUCGGCCACCUUGACGCGCACGAGGUUCUUCUUCUCGUCGUAGAACAUGAACGCCGCGUUGUUGAAAUCGUCGGGGUUGGGGACGACGAGGUCGUUGAUAUCCUUGGGGAAAACGGAUGGGAUAGUUUUCCAUAUGGUCCACAUUCUGUCGACGUUAGCGUGAUGUGCGUAGAAGAGAGGGUCUCUUCCGGCGGAGUAGAAGUUCCCCAUGUCUUCGCGGAAAUCGUUGGCGGGGUUUCCGGUCCAGACGUGGACGCCGCCGUGUGAGCCGCCCUCCGACAAUCCUCCCUUGGCGCGUGGCGGGGGCAAGUCCCCGGAAACGUAAGGAUCGCCCAUGAAGUCGAUGGCGGAUUCGACAUCACCAAUCAUUUCCUUGUACAUCUGAGUGAGAUUGUUUUCGAUGAUCGUUACAGGAUCGGUGAUCGGGGGGGUGGUUAUGGCAAGAGCAACGAGGGCCGGGGGGCGAUGCGUUGGGUCGCGGUUGACGUCGUAGAGCGGGGAUUCUUCCCUGUCGAACGGCCUGGGCAUCUGCAUACCCCUAGGGUUGUCCCAGUUCCAGUAGGGCAGGGCGAAAUCGGGAUCUCCGAUGAGUUCGCCCAUGAUCCUCUCGAAGAAAUAGAGGUACCACCUGUGGAAGGGGUGGAUCCAGAAUUUGUCAUUAGGAGGGACUAAAUUUGUUGAAGCAUGACGUCUCAAAUUAUUAGCCAAUUUUUUUUAGCAUUCCAUACAGUUCAUUUUUUUGUCGAACUACAUUCGAUUAAUUCAACAACAAGAACAUUGAAAGCAUAUAAAUACUUACCUCUCAAAAAUUGUUUCAUCUUCUAAGAAGAUAAGCUAAUUUUCAUCAUGGCAGUUCAUAAUUUUAAUUUAACUUGAGGAUUGACUCAAAUUCAACACUGAGAAUCAACUAAGAAAGGAAAGUAGACAAAAAUAACAUAAAUUUAACAAACUAACAUAUCAAAUUUAAAUCACUAUAAAAUAUUAAACAGUUAAAACGUGGAUACUAUAAUUAAUAAAACAAUGUAUUUUAUUAUCUCUUGUAUUUCUUAUCUAUACUAAUAGAAAAAGAGUCUAAGACAGUCUAAGGCACAACUUGUGGAUUGCCUAUUUUACCCUUAUUAUAUAUUUAUUAUUAUAUUUACAAAAUAUAAAUCUAUUUUGAUAAAUAUUUAUUUGUCACUCAAAUCUAUAAAGAAUACUUUAUAUCUAUAGCUAUUGAUAAGGCUUAUAAAUAAAUAUAUUCAUCCACAACGUACGUUCUUUCUGCUAGUAUAUAAUAAAAACAAAAACAAAAAACUCAAAAUUUGGGAGGCGGUCGAUCCGCUGCUAACCUGUGGAAAGGGAAGAAGAUCCAUGAGUUGUGAACCUGGAUAUCGAUGCCGGGGUGGUCCACCUGGUCGUAGGGGCCGUUGCAGUAAGCGCAGUGGAUGUUGGCCUGCUGAGUGAAGCCACGGGGAUCGUCGGGGUCCGUCACGUCCAGUUCCUUCAUCUUCUGGAUGGCCAACUCAUACUUGCGUACGUAUUCCGGUGUCAGCCUGUGCGCCGCCGGCCUAACGCGAGGUUUAGUGAACCUCGGAAGCUUGUAGUCGCUCUGAACGUCGGUGUAGGGCGGGCAGCAGUUGACGUCUAGAGAUAUUACCUCUUGGUUUCGAGUGGUGUAGGCACCUUCGGGGUCGCAGGUGCUCAGGUCAGGAGGCAAAAUCGGAAGCGCCUCAGCUUUGCGGAUGGCGCUGCCUGCGCCGUAUAGACCGCCCAGCCCAAGCAGCAUGUUUCUGCGGUCUAUACGGCCGCUGCCACCGCCACCGCUGCUGCAUGACACCUGAAAGCGGCCGUGGCUCCGCCGGCUGCUGAGCUGGGAGGGCUUGCGAAAUGGGGAGUUGGUGGCGGCGGCGAUCGCCGUGAAUGAAGAUUGAAGGGAAGCCAUGUUUGAGUGAUUGAUUGAUGGUCGUUGUGAUUACCUGGGGAGGCAUGUCUUUAUAUAGCAGAUGUGACACGAGUUUUAAGAAAAAUAAAUUAUCCGUUGAAUAAUUAAAUCGCCAUGUUUCUAUAAUUUAUUCCUAAUGGAUCUAGUCAAACUAAUCGUGCAAUAUUUAAUAAACCACGCAGCAUCAUUUCCGAGACUAAUAAAUGACAUUUUGAACCAGCUAAUCAAUUCCAUAUAAUUAACCAUUUGCGAGGCUGGCUGCCCUUCACUAAAUGGUUGUAUGCACUUGUCUUUGGAAAAGCUGUUUGGCCAUAUUAUGGCCAGUCAUAAUAUGGGAAAAUAUUAUAAAAGUCAUGUAUUUAAUUUUUUAUAUUUAAAAUAAAAAUAGGAUUUUAUUAGUUUUAUUUUUUAUUACAUAUUUUAGCUAUUUUUUUUUAUAAUUUUUCUGAAUUUUUUAGAAAAAUAAAAAAUAAAAUUACAAUGUGAACAAAAUUAUAAAACUAAUAAUGGUAGAGCAGCGGAGGGCACAGGUGAAGGGCAUGGCGGCGGUGUACUUAUUUUAGUCAAGUAAUUAUUAUUGCACGAAAAAAUAAUUAUUAAUAUAAAGAAAGAUAAUGUUUCAAAGACAUUAUCUUUCUUCAUGUCUAUUAAUUUUUCAUCACAAUAAUAAUUACUUCGAAUUAUCCGUGUUUUCAAUCGUGCGACCUGCACCCAGCCCGACCCGACCCGUUUCACCCAUAUAGUCAGUCUCACCCAAGUUUUUGCCUAAAGAUAAGUAUUAAUUAGUUGUGUAUGGUGAUAUGAGUCUUGUUUGUAUAAAUUAGUAGGCCUUUAAUAAUGAAUUGGCCCAUCUCAGGUGGUUUAUAUAAUUUACUCGUAUGGAUCUAAAUACAACUAAUCAUGAAAUAUUUAAUAUACCACGGAGCAUCUUUCUGAUAUACUAUUUAUAUAGUAAUUUAUUCCUAAUGGAUCUAAUCUCUGACUAUUUAAUAAUUAACUCGCCAUCGUUUAAAUAAUUUACUCCUUAUGGAUACACUCAAAGUAAUCGUGCAAUAUUUAAUAUACCACGCAGCAUCAUUUCUCAUACAAUAUUUUGGACCAUCUAACCAAUUACAUAUAAUUAAACCUUUUGCCAGGGUGGCUGUCCCUUCCACUAUAUGGUUGCAUGUAUUGAAUUGAAAUUUUAUUGAGGAAAAAAUGAAAAGAAAAACUAGGAAUUCAUUGAUAGCACGAAGACGCUAAUUAAGGGCUGAGCCUCAUCAAAACCUUUCCGAUAAAAAUCCAGUGAAAAAAACCACCAGCAAAGGAAAAAGAGUACCAGUCUAUUACAAUAAAAAAAUGAAGAACAAACUCAAGACAGGAACAACGAGAAGCACGAGAGGAUGAUAAAACAUCUAACCCGAAAAAAAAGACCCAAACCAAAGGAGCCUGACAAAUCCGGAGCCAGUACCAGCGCACCAGGAAACUGAAAAAGUUCUGGAGAAGCCACUUCGACCCAAGCACGCCAACCAUCCAAAAGAAACGACUACCACACCCACACCUAGGCCAAGAAAUAUAUAAUAUUGUGAAUAGUUCCCAUGGGAUCGAAACAGACCACCAAAACAAGAAAAAACCUCUAAGAGCAGACUACUCAUUGCCUGCCUGCCUAGUAUUCGAUGAAAUACCCAAACCAGAAAUCAUAGCAUAAAGCAAAAACCGCCACAGCUGGGGAGCGAAGAGCAGAAGGCCACCAAUAAGAUACAUUAGGAUUGCGCAAAGUCUGACAAAGAAAUCAGAAAACUUACCAGACCACUCUAGUUAAUGUAAUCUAUACAUGUCCGCACAUGAAAUUUGGUCAAGUUAGAUACACUAAUCUCAAAUCUAUUUAAUUAACAAAUUGAUUGAUUGAUAUUUUUUUCUGAGAGAAAUUGAUUGAAUAAUUUUUAGACUUCAAAAACUAAUAGUUAAUUGAUUGUUUAGAUAAGAUUAUUAUUACACUUUUAUAUAGAGAUAAUUAGUACUUGAGAUAUGUGCAAUUUACGCAUUCUUCUCUCGAGACAAAAUAAAUAUUAUUGACCAUUGAGAACUCUGCUACCACUACUCCAGUUCUAUUUAUUAUCAGUGUGCCCUCUCGCGCGCUGCACGGGUCACAACAUAUUUGAUUAUUUAAUUUUAGCUGUUUACGCAUACUUCGCUCGAGACAAAAAUAAAAUAAGAUUUAUUGAUCAUUGAGAACUCAGUACCACACCAUACUCGUGUAUACUAUAAUAUUUAUCAUUGUUUAUGAUUAUUACGUGUCUUCGCCGAUAAAUUUAAUAUUCAUUCCUUUAAUUUUUUUCUAUUGACAUUGGAAACUGUCUUGAUUCUUUUUUGGCCAUAUCAUAUAUUUAAAAAAUUGGGAGGGGAACGUGGAAGUUGAAUCUGAAAUAAGAAUCAAAUGAUACAUGUGUACUUUCAAAGAUAAAACGCAAAAUAUAUCAUUUUUUUGUAAAACAUAUAAAUUCUACUAUUUAUGAUUAUUUUAAAUUUAUAUAAUCUAUAUUUGUAUGUAUAUAUAUUCUCCAUUUGUUCAUGAAAAAGAGUCUCAUUGUAUGCUGAAUACGAGUUUUAAUAAAAUGGUUGUAAGUGUGAAAUAAAUGUAUAAUUUGUAAGAGUCUUUACAUUAGAUUAUAUUUUACUCUCUUCGUCCUAUUGAUAAUGACUCACUUUUCUUUUUCGUCUGUCUCAUUGAUAAUUGCAUGUUCCAAAAAAACUGAAACCAUUUGACCUCACAAAAUGUUGUGGGCUCCACUACUUUUUAUCACUUUUAUCCUUUAAUUACUAUUCUUAUUAAUAACCGUGUCGAACAGUAAUGAACUAUUAUCAAUGGGAGGGAGGGAGUAAUAUUUUAAUUUUGUUUGCUGCCACCACCACCACCACCACCACAAUUUAAAAAAAAAAAUCUACGUGAAUAUAGUAAUUAUUAGAACAAAAAAAUAACUAUAAUAAUAAUAUAUUAAUCCGUUAAUUAUCUAUACUAAUAUAAAAAGUGCAUUUGGCACAAAAUAUAUAUUGCCUGUUAUAUCCCUAUUAUAGUAUUUUAUUUGAAGGACAACUUUGUAAAUUAUAUAUUAUAUAUUUAUAAGAAUAUAUUAUUUCAUUAGAUAUUACACUAAAUAUAUUUGAUAUAUAUCUAGAUCUUAUGCUAUAAUUUUUUUUAUAUUAAUUAAUUAUUAUAUAUUGUGAUUUAAUAGAAUUAUACAACUCUAAUAAUUUAUAAAUGUAAAGUUCAGGGAUUGCAUGCAAUGCACACAUUCUAUGCUAGAAAAAAAAUAGAAUUCACUAAGCCGAUGAUAAAUAACACAUACAACGUACUAUUUCUGCUAGUAAAUUAAAAAUCUAUAUGAUUUUAUCUUCUAUCACUACAUUAAUUAAAAUCUAUCUUCCGUUUCAUAUUAACGGUGGUUUUUCAAUAUUUUUUAUAUUAAUUACUACAUAUUGUGAAUUUAUUACAAUUGUUAACCUCUAACAAUUCAUUAAUAUAAAGUUGAUGGAUUGUGUGUCAUGCACAAACUCUCCUGUACUCAUCUAAAAGACUCUAUAUGUGAGAAGAAACCGCAGGAGAGUAAAAUGGUACAUAACAUAGAAUAGAAAGACUUUCACAAAAUAAAUGUUACAUUCUUCCCGUAGUCGGAAGGAGCAUGAAAAUGCGCGGUUAUUCGCAAGAAAGAAAGGCUCACUCAGCCACACAAAACAUGGAAAUCCUAAACACGGUGAUGCAGAGAUCAAGCGGUAACACGCGGGAUGAUCUUAAUACCACCGAUGGUAACAUCGUCGCCAUUAAUGUGGGGAACGAUAGUGACGACAAUGAAAUCAUCAUCAGCAAUAUUAAUGUUCUCAUAGAGUUCCUUCAGGUUCAAGUGAAGGUCGUUGGAGCUUUCCGUGGCCCUAACCCUGUGCGGAAUCUGCGUGAAGCACCCGGCGUACUCGGCCCUAUCGAGCUUCUGUGGCGUGUCGUCUGCAUCAUUCACGAACACAUCGAACCUCACGAGCUUCAAGCUAUCGCAGAUUAUGUCCUCCAGCACCAGCACUUCGUCGGCUUUGCCUUUGGUUGGUUUGGGCACCACAACCCUAUGAGGCUUAUUGAGAGUGAGAGGGAACACAUUGUCUCCGGUCUCCGCCGUCUUGGCGAGAUCUUCGGUAUUGACCGGUUCCGGCCGCUGAGGUGGCCGGCAGGUCAUCCAUGGUGUAUGGCUAUAUUCAUACUCGUAUCCCAUUUUUGUGUGGUCCAAGCAGUCGGCGACCUUAACGCGCACCAGCUUCCUCUUCUCGUUGUAGAACAUGAAGGAGGCGUUGUUGAAGUCGUCGGGGUUGGGGACGACGAGCUCGUUGAUAUCCUUCGGGAAAACGGAUGGGAUCGUUUUCCAUAUAGUCCACAUUCUGUCGACGUUAGCGUGAUGUGCGUAGAAGAGAGGGUCUCUUCCGGCGGAGUAGAAGUUCCCCAUGUCUUCGCGGAAAUUGUUGGCGGGGUUUCCGGUCCAGACAGCCGCCCUCCGACAAUCCUCCCUUGGAGCGUGGCGGGGGCAAGUCUCCGUCAACGUAAGGCUCGCCCAUGAAGUUGGUAGCGGAUUCGACAUCACCAACCAUUUCCUUGUACAGCUGAUUGAGGUUGUUGGAGAUGAUCUGUACGGGAUCGGUGAUCGGGGGGUUGGUUAGGGCAAGAGAAACGAUGGCCGGGGGCCGAUGCGUCGGGUCGCGGUUGACGUCGUAGAGUGGCGACGCGUCCCUGUCGAACAUCGAGGGCAUCUGCAUGCCCCUAGGGUUGUCCCAGUUCCAGUAGGGCAGGGCGAAAUCGAGAUCUCCGAUGAAUUCGCCCAUGAUUCUCUCGAAGAAAUAGAGGUACCACCUGUGUAGGGAUGAAUCCAGAAUUUGUCGUUAGGGGGGCUAAAUCUAAAAGUAUUUGCAGUGGGGGCUCCCGUCCGCAAGACAAUUUUUUUUAACCAUUCCGUAUAGAUUUAAUUGGCUUAACAUUAGAAAUCAGUCACUUACUAUAAAAAAUAGUUGUUCGCAUUCCAUUAAUUCAACAACAAGUACAUUUAAAGCAUAUACAAACCUACCUCUGUGCAAUUUUUUAAAAUAUUAUUUCGACUUCUAAAAGAAUAAACUAAUUUUCAUUGUUAAUUAAUAGUUCAAAAUUUUAGUUUAUCUUGAAGAUUAACUCAAAUUAAAUAUUCAAUAUUACCUAAUUAAACAAAAAUGAGACAAAAAUAACACAAAUUUUUAACAAACUAACCUAGCAAAUCACUGUAAAAUGUUAAGCAAUUCUUUCUUGUAUUUCUUCUAUAUAUUAAAAACAAAAAAAUUAGGGAGGGGGCUUCAGCCCCCGUGGAUCCGCCACUAACCUGUGGAAGGGGAAGAAGAUCCAUGAGUUGUGAACCUGGAUAUCGAUGCCGGGGUGGUCCACCUGGUCGUAGGGGCCGUUGCAGUAAGCGCAGUGGACGUUGGCCUGCUGAGUGAAGCCGCGGGGAUCGUUGGGGUCCGUCACGUCCAGAUCCUUCAUCAUCUGGAUGGCUUUCUCGUACUUGGCUAUGUAUUCCGGUGUCAGCCUGUGCGCCGCCGGCCUCCUGCGAAGCUUUGUGAACGUCGGAAGCGUGUACUCUUCCUCGUCGUCCGUGUAGGGCGGGCAGCAGUUGGCGUCUAGAGAUAUUAUCUCCCCGUUUCUAGAAGUAUAGGCACCUUUGGGAUCACACUUGCUCAGGUCAGGAGGUGAAAUCGGAACCGCCUCAGCUUUGCGGAUGAGGCCGCUUGCGCCGUAUAGACCACCCAGACCAAGCAGCAUGUUUCUGCGGUCUACACGGCCGCCGCCGCCUCCAUCACUGCUGCACGACACCUCAAAGCGGCGCCUCCGCCUGCUGGCGAGCUGGGAGGUGGUGCGGAGGUUGGGGUUGGUCGUGGUCGCCAUCACCAUGAAUGAAGAUUGAAGGGAAGCCAUGCUUGAUUGAUUGAUGCUUGCAUUGCGCUCGAGGCAUGCAUGUCUAUAUAUAGUAGGCGUGGACACGAGUUUUAAGAAAAAUAAUGAUACUUAAUGGGAUUAUUUUCGAAAAUGAAUUAGGAAGAUGUUUUGGAGACGAAAAUAGAAAAUUGACCUUUUGCCAGGCUGCCCUUUCACUAAAUGGUUGUAUGCACUUAUCUUUUUUUUAUCUAUAAAGAGGUAUUUUCUCCAUUUAAAAAACUUAUCGAGGUAAUUAUGAAGACUAUUCAUUUUUAUCGUUGUAAAGUUAAUUAAAUUAUAAAAAUUAAAGUUGAUAAAGUUCUUAUUAAACAUCAUCGCUCUUCUGUCUUUGGACGACAAAAUUAAUUAUUUCAAAUAGAUAAAGAACUUGAUUUUCCGAUAUGGCUUCUCAUACUAAUUAAAUAAUCUAAUCCUAUAAUGUAUUUCAUAUAAAGUUAUCAAAUUAACAAUAUUCUGUGUGAAUUUUUUUGCCUUGAGUGUGUGUAUAGAGGUAGUCAGGGCCGGCCCUGAGGGUGGGCGGGCAUGGGCGACGGCCCAGGGCCCCAAAAAUUUGAGGGCCCAAAAUUUUUAAUAUAUCCUAUUAAUUAUAGAUCUUAUGUAUACUAACAACAUAGUUCAUCUAUUGAUUUUGGGCCCAACAUAAUUUAUUCUCAAAUUUAGAUCUAUACUUAAUAUAGAGAGUUUUCAAUUUGAAAUCAAUUUCAAAGUAAUUUCAAAAUUGAGUGACUAUUUUGUAGUUAUAAUAUUAAUAAAAUUGAAGGUUUAUGUUUAAACUAUAUAUUUUUAUUUUUAUUUUUAUUUUCAUUUUCAUUUUCUUUAACUUCUUAUUUGUUGUUACAUUUCUUUCCAAAAUUGUGAAAUUCAAUUAAUUAUAAAAUAUUUAAUAUGCAUAUCAAAUUAAAGAUCACAAUAAGAGUUUUAAUAUGAUAUAUUUUAUGAAAAAUAUUUGAUUUAAAAUGUAAAAUUUAUGCAUGUUCAAAUAUUAAAGUUUUAUAAAUUUCUCUCACCUCUCUCAUCUUUACGAAUAAAUAUAUUUUUAAUUCUUUUAAAUUAGUAUUUUAUUUUUAAUUUUUUUAACUUAUUUUUUUGUUUUUGUAUUUCAUAAUAUCAAAUUUUAUAAUUGUGAAUUCUUUUUUUAUUUUUUUUAAUAUUCAAUUCAAAUAUAUAUAAUUAAAAUUAAUUUUUUAUUAUAUUUAUAAGUAUAAUAAUUAAAUUAGUAUUAAUUUUAUAUAAAUAGUAAAAACAAAAAAUAUUUCCCGUGCAUGAGAUGCAAAUGGUAGUUGCACCUCGCCGCCGGUAAUAUAUUUAAGUAUAUAAAUUAAUUAAUAUUAACAAGGCGCCCGGUGAUCACCGGAGGCAUCCUUGCCGCUGGUAUUUCUGCCGCUACUUUGAAAAAUACGGCCGUCGGUAAAUCUGGCCGCAAAUUGUGUACGUUUUUUGGUAGUGGUAAUAUAUUAGGGCCCAAUUUUUUAAUUUCGCCCAGGGCCUCAGUUUUGUCAGGACCGGCCCUGGAGGUAGUUAUAGAAUUUAUCUUUUGUGUUCUCAAAGGAACUUAAUUAAGAUCCAAUGUGAUUGAUACAUUUCGACUAAAUGGAUGGGCAAGAUUCUUUUAACGCCCAAUAUUAAUUCCAUCUCAAAUCGGAUCUUAUAUAAUACUGUAUUUUAUAUAUUCUAUAAUGCAUUUUAUAUAUUACGUGUCUAUUAAAUUAACAUUGAUCUUAGGAGUGAUACAAGUUUAAAAAAAAGCUAGCUGUAUAUUUGGUGAGUAGAGAAGGGAUUUCAGAAAUUAGAAAAAAUGGUGAUAGGUAGUGGAAUUAUUUUAAAAAAUGGACUAAAAAGAUGUUUCAUGAACGAACGAAAAUGGCAAAAUAGGAAGAUGAGUCGUGGUCGGAGGAAAUAUUAUAAUGCAUCGUAUCCUUUUUUGGUUCGUAUAAAGAUUUUUAUUUGAUCCUCAUCGAGAACAUGCAUAUUGCGAAUACUUAAUUUAUUUCAAUAUAUAUAUAUUAAUUUAUUGGGAGCAUAUGCUAAAUAAAUUAAAUUAAUCCGAAUCAAAAGCGCUUAAUUAUCACUACAUUACAUGCAUUAUGACAAAAAGCCUGCGGCUAAAGAUCUUCAGUUUAAGUCUAUUGUCAUAUUGUUUUUAAAAUAUUAUUUAUCCAUUCCGCAUAUGGAUUGGUCAGAUUUAGAUACACAAAUCUCAAAUGUAUUUAAUUAACAAAUUGAUUGAUAAAUUUUAGAAUUCAAAAAUUAAAUCAAUCAAAUACGCGUGUCCACAGUCAAUGGAUUGAAAAUAUGCAGGUAUCUAGAUAAGAUAUAUUAUUAUUAUUAUUACACUGUUAACUAUACUGCAGUACACUUUUAUAUAUACAGACAUAAUUAAAAUAUGCAGGUAUCUAGAUAAUAAGAUUAUUAUUACACUAUUAACUAUACUGCAGUACACUUUUAUAUAGAGAUAAUUACUAGAGAUAUGUGCUAUUACCCAUACUUCGCUCGAGACAGAAAUAAAUACGAUUGACCAUUCAAUUAAACACUACGACACCAUACUCGUGCAUGUACUAACGAUCUUAUUAUAAGUGCACCUUCCCGUGCGAUGCACAGGUCAGUAGAAUUGUAAUCGAUAUUGAUGUGAAUAUCAUCAUAUUCGAUUCGUAUUUGUGAAAAUACUCUAAUAUUUGAUUCAGCAUUCGAUUCGAUCACGAAUACUAAAUACGAUCCCAUAUUCGAUUCGAUGUUAUUUUUGAAUUAUUUGAUACAUUUUUUAAAAUUAAUUAAAUAAUUUUUUUACGAAUAUUCGAUUCGUUUUCCAUCAUAUUCAAUUCAAAACUAUUCGAUUUGAAAUUCUGAAGGAAAAAAUAUGUUAAAUAAUAUUCUAAAAAAUAUAGGAUUAUAUCCAAUAUAUUUACCUAAUAAUUAAACACACAAUAAUAAAGUGUUCAAUUCAUAUUGUUUUAUGUCCCGUGGUUUGUUUCUAGGAUUGUGGUAAUAAAGACUGAUUGGAUCAGUCUAGUACAGUUGUUGUUUGAAUUUGUAAUUUUGUGUAACGGCAUUGUCAUCUUGUUGAGAUUAAUAGGAGUUAAUUUGUUUAAUUAAUUAUUCAUGAGUUUCUUAUAAGAUACCUUCCUUCGUUCCGUAAAAAUAGUCAUAAUUUUUCAUUUUAGAACGUCCAUAAAAAAAUAGUGUUAUUCCAUUUAUAAACAAUUUAGAUCCUUACCUUUGGGAUGAGAUAAAAUGAAAUUCCAUUUUAAAUCAUAAACUAGCUAUAUAGGAAGCAUUUUCAGCUCUUGAAUUCAUCUGUUGUUCGAAUUUCAUAGGAAGCAAGUUUUUUUGACUCAUUAUUUUCACAGCGAAUUCAUCAUGUUACACAUACCCUAAAGUGAUAUAUUUACCCUAUUUGAUAACAUGAUAAGUAUAUUUGAAGCGCUCACUAUUUUAUUUGAACUUUAUUAUCGAGUUUAAACGAGUUUUGAAAUAUUGAAUUAAAUUGAAAUAUCCAUGUUGAUCGUUUAAGAAGCAAAUUUUUGGCAUGGGUUUAUAAAAAAUACAUCCUAGCCUCCAUCCCUAAUAAGUGCGGUGUGAAGGAGUGGGCAAUAGUUCUUUAAAAAUAAUUGAGAGAUGUGUAUAAAGUGGAUAAAAUGGCUUACUAGAGCUGAUUUGUUAGGCCUUACUUUCUCUCUGCCCCACUAAAAUAAGCUCAAUUCUUUUGAGAACAUAGAUUAAUAAACUUUCUUUUGAGAAGAAAAUUAAAGUGGUGGCAAAAGUAAUGUGGUCCAUACCAAUUAAGCAAUUUGAGUACAUUUUUUUUUUCACUCAAAAGGAAAACGAGCCUAUUCUAGCGGGACAUUCCAAAAUAGAAAACGAGCAUAUUCUGCUGGGACGAGGGAAUAAUAAAUUGUUUGUGAGAUGAGUAGUUUGUAAAUAUUGUGUGUGAAAGGUGUAUGUCUUAAAUUGAAAAGACCAUACCUGUAUUGUGAUUGUACGGAAAGGUGGAACUGAGCAUCGCGGCGGCGGCGAGGCAGGAGGCGGCGGUGGUGAGGAGAAUCGAGAGAGAGAGAGAAAGAUGCCAGCAGACAGUGACGGAGGGCAGUGGGCGGCCCUUGGCGGCAGCGGAGACGACAAGGUACUGGCUGUGCCAGAAUUAUUUAGUUGCAUAGGAUCCUUCCAAAUGUAAUUACUGAUUCACUGUUGGAUUAACAAGAAUUAAAUUACUUCAUAAUACAGUAUUCCAACUGUUCGAUAAAAGCCCUUAAUGAAAUCUUCCAUAGAUUACUUUGCAAAGUUCAUAAAAUUACUCAAAAGCAUUGUUGCAUAGUCCGUACAUAGAGAUGGUCGAUUAUCUUAAUUAUGUCUAGAUUUAUUUACGACACACACACACACACAUCACAAAAUCACACAUACUGACUAAUAAGGUUCCCGAAAGCCGGCAUUAUUAGGCGCCAUGGUGGCCGUGAAAUACCAUGAGACGAUAUCAUGGGUGGUGGGUCCGUCUAGUCUGGUGGCGGCGGAGAGCCCUACCUGAACCUGCUAAGGAAGAAAGCCGCUCAAAUCAUACUCAUAGCUGACUUCAAACGUCUUCGAGCCGGCGGUGGCACGGACGGCGAUCUACUUUGUGGAGGCGGCGUAGUUGAUCCUCGCCGUCACCUGCUGCUCGAGUAUGGAGCCGUCGACCUCCGUCGUGUUUCGGGAUGACCUAGACCCGAUGUCGAUGCCGAUGUGGGGAUAGUUCGGAUCCCACGCGCUGUUGACGUAGGUGUCGAACUCGACGGCAAAUACCGAGGGGUUGCUGCCGGAGGAGCCGAAGAUUCCGAGGUUGGCCCCGCUGGAGCCGGUGGGGAUGGUGGAGCGGCGAGAUUGGUGAUGCUGGGUGUGGUGAUGAAGUUUACGGUGGUUUCAAAGUCGACUUGGCCACCGGCUUGGGAGAAUUGGACCGGGUUCGUGUACAAGACCCGGCCGACACUACCGAUCUGCGGUCGCCUUGGUAGGUGAGGUCGGUCGGCUGGUUGUCCCAGAAGUUAUAGGCGAAGGCCGUUGAUCGGGACUUCGCCCUGUUGGUGGCGACGGCGAGAAGAAGGGCGAUGGAGAUUAGGGUUUGGAGAAGGUUGGCCAUGGCUUAGUUGUGCAGUGAAUGAUGUCUACUACUUGCUCCUAUUUAUAAUGAUCGAAAAUAUCUACUACUUACCUACCACAGAUCCACAUCAGGGGCCCUGGAUGGGGUGGUCGACUACAUAAGCCCAAAAAAAUAAGGGCUCGGAAAAUAUAUAGAUCCAUGUAAGUAUUAUAUAUAUGUAUAAAAUAAUUAAAAGCCAACUAAUGAUUGAAUUGAUUAACUUGGCGCAGUGGAAAAAGGACAUUUUUAAUUCCUCUUAAUUACCAAUAUUUUAUUUAGUGACCAAUUUUUUUGUUUAGAUAUAGGGCCCAGCCCCUAUUUUGAUAAAUUAAGUGUAUGUAUUUCAAAUUAACAUUAUUUUAAGUUGUCGAAUUUUUUUGUUAAGAUUUAGGGUCCAGCCCCUAUUUUGUUAAAUUAACUUUAUUUUAAGUGAAUGACAUAAUUAUUAAUAUAUUUAUUAAUUAUUAUGUAAUUUGAUAAAAAAAUGUUUUAAAUAAUUUUAGUUUAUAAUUAAUUUAUUUCUCAAUUAUAAAUAAAUGGCCUAAAUUAAAAAAUUCGCAAAGGGCCUAUGUUCUCUUAGCCCUACCCUUGCACUGUUGCACAUGGUAUAUAUAUCUAUUCUAUGAAUAUAAGUGAUUAUUUUAUAAACCACGUGAAAGCACUUGUUCCCACUAGCACUAUAAAAGCAAUAAAUACAACGGAAAGAAAAUAAAUUACAAUUGAAUACAUUAGGAGAAAAAUUACUUCUAACCUAUGGAAUUACUAACAACGAUACUUAUACCAAAGCUAAAUUGGACCAACUAACUGUACACUCUUGUAUUAUAUCAACCUACCAGACCUUAGUAUUCACGAGUCUCCCACAGUCUAGACUGAUUCACAAUAUAUACCAACAUUGGAACAAGUUCAGUAAUACACUCUAUUUAUAUAUAUUAUUAUAUACACAAAAAUGCAUGGCUGCUGUGGUAUUACGGAAGGAUCGAGAAUUACUCGAUCCUUGGGAAAAGGUUCAAAUGAAACCUUUAUUAUUACUCUCCGUCCCCCAAAUAAUAUCAUAUCCGAUUUGGGAUAUUACCCCACCACUAAUAAUACUUUAUUUAUUCUAACUUCUCAAUCUUUCACCAUUCUCAAUACUAAUUAUAACACAUUUUCAUCACUUUCAAUACUAAUUAUAAUUUCUUUUCUCCACUGCUAAUACGUACACUUAACAAUUUUUCCUUAAAACCAGUGUCGUCCCCUACUAAGAAGUUAUUUGGGGGACGUAGGGAGUAUUUUUUAAUGAUAUGGCAUCCAAAUAUGUUGUGACAAUCCAGUGAGCAAUAUCAACUUUUUGGAGCUGAAAACCGAUGUGAGGUACAACUAAUACACAAUAUGUUGUGGCAAUCCAGUAAUAUACCCUAAGGAUGCGUCAUCUUUUGUUGUAAAUUUAUCAUGGAAAAAUGAGGGAUAAACAAAAUUUCACCCAUUAAAUCCUUCAUUUUUUCCCUCAUUUCUUACAAAAUAGAAUUUGACCCUUACUCAUUUCUCAUUUUCACUGCAAAGGGGGGCUAAUAUUAUCUCUCUAUUUUUGGUAUAAUGAAGAAUUUGAUACGUAAUUACAAUUAAUUAUAAUGAAGUGUGUAUUUUAGUUGCUCAUAUUCUUGGAUUAUUUAUGCUUUAAUGAAACGAUCCACUGCCUUUAACAUUUUGGCAUUUUAAAGUAAACGCCGAAAUGCAACGAUCCACUGCCUUUUAAGUAAACACCCUUGCUAACCCCUGCAUGCGUUUUUUCAUCAAACACUUGGGUUCAUUCUUUUAGGCAUUUUAUCAAACAGUUGUGCUCAGCCUCAUCCUUUUGAUCACAUUCCCAUAUCUCUCCUUAUAUGAAACCGCAUUUUCUAUUUCUCAUAUAUUUCCUAUAUAAUAUUUCCAUCAUUUCUAGCUCAACAAUAAUUCUUCUAGCAAAAUUAUCAUUUCAAAUGCACUCUUUUCCUUUUCUACUUUCUCUUCUGCAUAACAGAAAUACUAAUCCACCAUAAAAUAAUCAUAACUUUUUCUUAAUGAUACGAUGAGGGCACAAAGUUGAGAUGAUAAAAUCAUACAUAUUGGCGAAUGUUGCCGCCGGCUUCCUCUGACUUUUGGAUGCUGAGGGGAGGGGUGGCGGUGAAAUACCAGGAGUUGAUGAUGAAUUUGAUGGUUGUUUCCAUGUCCACCUGCCGCAGAGACCGAGAUACGAUUUUAGAAACAAACGGCAAAAUUACAAUUUCACAUAUAAAAAAUAAAAGACAAUUAAUAAAGCGCAUAAUAUUGGUAAGAUGCUUCCAACCAAUAGGUCGGGAUUGUAUAUCGUGUGAGUGUGUUUUUCAUUUUUUAGUAAUAACAUGUCGUGCUCGGGGCUUUUUUCCGUAUCUGCCCCUGCUUCCCGUCGUCGUGCCCGACUCGUCGGUUUUUGUCAUGCGGAGGUAGGUGGUGGCGUCGGUGAAGUUGGCGUCGCCUUCCAAGCGUAGGCCUUCCGAAUGUGGCGGCUUUUGGUAGAAGUCGUAGGUGAAGGAGACUGCAUCGCCGACCGACACGGUGGCGAGGAGGAGGGCGAUGGAGGAGAGGAGAGGAAUUAAGGUUUGGAGAAGGUUGGCCAAUUUGAUUAAAUGUAUUUGGAUGUAGUGGAUGAUGGUGUAUCGAUCUCUUGCUCCUAUUUAUAGUUGUAAAUAUAUAUUAAUAAUGGUAUCAUUCAAUCAUUAUACUUUAGGCCGGCCGGGCCGGAUCCUCUAUUCCAAAUUCUAUGUCUCAUUGUUCAUAUUCACUAUUAAUUUCACUAUUUCAAUAAUUAAAAAAAUUCAUAGAGUUUGGGGCAGAGGAUCCCGUUUGAAUCCCACAUGGAUCCUCUGUCCCAUAACUUAUUGUGUUCCUUCCCAUUAUUAAUCUCGAUAUUAUAUUUCUACUUUGGAGUUAAUUCAUUAUAAACCCAUGAAAGAUCAGACGAAAUUCAUCCAAUAAACAUUUAUAAAUUUAUAUUUAAAUUUUGUUUCGCGGGUAUCUGAUAGAUAAUAGGUAUUCGUGGGUGGCGAAUUUGGGUAGCAUUUGAUAUUCAUAGAUAGUUUCAUGAUUAAAAUCCAAUAUUCAUUUAGUUCACGGGUAUGGUAUGACAGCCACUAUCUGUGUACGUCAUACCUGAUUGCCAGUAUGACAAAUAUAAAAGUUGUGAGAUGCACAGCAGCUUAAUUAUUCAAAUAGAAAUAUCAUCACAUGUGCAUUGAUAUUUCACAAAAUAAAUACUACUACUAAUAAAUACUCCCUCCGUCCACCAAAGAUAUGCCACUUUACUUUCGGUACGAGUUUUAAUAAAAUGUGAGUGAAGUUGGUAGUGGAGUAAGGGUCCCACUUUAAAUGUGAGUGGAAUGGUAUGGACCUUACUACUAAAAAUGGAUGUGGCAUAUUUUUCGUGGACGAACGAGAAAGAAAAUUGUGGCAUAUCUUUGGUGGACGGAGGGAGUAGUACUCAUUGAUAAUGCAUGCCAACACAUGGUUCUUGCAAGUCAUAUAUAUACCUCAUCAGCAAUAUAGUAAAAUGAUGAUUUGACAACCAGAUUAAGACACCAAUUAUUCUUGUCGGGACACAGACAUAUAUGCAUAUAGAAUUAAUAUUAUUUACUAUUUCGUUUAUACACGUGAAUUAUGCUUUGGAUGCAACAUCGCCACGUCUCUUUCAUUUAUACUUCUCUAGUGUAUUGCGGACAAAAUAGUUAGUGUCUUUAAGAAAUUAAAAAUUUUCAAAUACAUAAGAAAGAAUAAUUAAUCUAAUUGGUGCGCCGGCAACUAAAACUUUUUUCAAUUCACUUUAUAUUUUAUAUACUCCCUCCGUCCACGAUUUAAUGCCCCAUUUUAGUGUGGGCACGGAGACUAAGAAAACUGAAAAAGGUGAUGUGAAUGAAAUAUAAGGGUAGUUGACUAAAGUGAUAAAGAUGCUGUGAGUGGGUUCACUAGUGAUAAAGUAUAGGAAAUAUAGAAUAUAAAAAUGAUAAAGGUGUUUUAAGUUGGGUCCAUUAGUGGCAAAGAGUAAUAAAUAUAGAAAAAGAAGAGUAAAAAAGUACAAAAAGCAUAAUAGGGCUUUAAUUUGUGGACAAAAAAUUAAGAGCAAGUAGGGCUUUAAAUUGUGGACGGAGGGAGUAUUUAACAUUACAAGUCAAUUGCUUGCAGAAUUUGAGCUUGUCUCCCGUGAUGGAGACCUCACCAUGCGGCAACCCGUGCCUGCGCCUGCCUUUUUUCUUCCCGUCUUGCUCUAUCCAGAUAUUAUACGUGAUCCAACUCUUUCCAGAUAUUAUACGUAAAUGAUAAUUUUACUAACAAAAAUUACACUUUUUAUCAAUAACAAAUGAAACUAUGCAUACAAAACAGGAGGUAAAUGAUAUUUUUCUUAAUAACAACUGAUACUUUUUCAAUGCAAAUAAUACUUCGCAAAUGAUAUUUUAAUAUAAAAGUAAAUGAUACUUUGUAUAAAAAUAAAUGUUAUAUUACAAAUGACACUUUUAAUGCAUACCAAUGACACUUUUAAUAACAAAAAUUGAGAAAAAAAAAUUAGAAUUCGGCCUUAAUUAAAAUUUGGACAACAUUUAUUUGGGCAAAGAAGAAAAACACCUGAAUUUUUUUUUUUCCUUUUUUGAGAGAGAAAAACUCAUGAAAUUUCAUGCAAAAGGUAAUGCAUAGCCAACCGGGCUCAAUCAUCUUUCGGCGGUUUUGGUUUGAUUCUUCCAACAUCUAGGGUAGCAUUCACACAAAAUCAACUCGUGUUCAAAAAUCUGAAAUUAAAAUUAACGAUGUGUCUCAGUAUAGAGAUAAGAACAUACCCCUCAAAUGGUUCGAGCCAAGGUCUAAUUCCUUCAGCAGUGUGAUAUUCCAAAUUUGAGUAGGCAUAUAUCCGCCAAAGUUGUUGUCUGACAAGCGAAUACUCUCAAGUUGUGGACAUUGGUACAAACUCGAUGGUAUAUCUCCUUCCAAAUUGUUAAAGGAUAGGUUCACUAGUUUAAGUCUUUGAAGGUUAUUGUACGUGCNUAGACAACAAGAAAUAUCUAUUGUCUAUUCUAUGACAAAAAAAUUAAAAAAUUCUAAUAUAUCUGCAUCCCUGUAUUACAAUACCAAUAUAUAUGAAAAAAUAAAAAUAAUUAAAAAUCAAAUAAUCAAACAAUACUUAUAAACCACUAAUACUCACAAUCAAAUAUUUACACAUCAGUGUAAAUAUUGGGUUCGAGUCCUCUGCGUGUGUUGAUCAAGCGGUAAGGGGUUAAUGCCUAAGGUCAAAGGUCUGGGAUUCGAGUCCCCUGUGGUGUAGCCUUUUAAUUUCGUUAUUUAAUAUUGUAAAUUUAUAAAAAAAAAAAAGUAUAUUUACACAUCAACAAUUGUAUUAUCUUUAAUACGCCUUCAUUCAUCUAAUAAAAAAAAUCUCUAAUAAAAUCUCCAACUAACUCCGGUCAUGAUCAUCUCUUGAAGGCGGAGGAAGGUGGAGUCCGUCGGGAAAUGGGUACUGCCUUGAUAGAUGAGAUCUUUCGGCUGGUCGCCCCAGAAGUCGUAGGUGAAGGACGUCGUUUGGGACAACGCCGUGUUGGAAACGGAGAGGAGGAGGACGAUGGAGGAGAGGAGAGGAGUUAAGGUUUGAAGAAGCUGGUUGGCCAUGGCUUAAUUGAUUUAGAUUUAGAGAUGUGGUGGAUGAUGGUGGUAUCGAUCUCUUGCACCUAUUUAUACUAGUAUGGUUCAUGCCUGUUAAUAAUUGUAUAUAUCAAUCAUCGUGCAUCUAUCCCAAAUUAUAUGUCUUAUUAUUCACUAAUUAGAUGGAUUAAAUCCUGAUUAGUAACCAUAAAAUUAAACUGUCAAUGAGGCCUUGCUCUAGUGGCAAAGCUGUGACACCGAAUAACUUUUCUUUGUGAAAUGUCUUGGGUUCAAUCUCGCCUGCAUGCGGUGAUGUGUGUCCAUUUUAGGUGGUGUGGUAUUCUUGUCUGCGUGCGGUGUUGUAUUGUUUAGUGUUGAGGUCCCACAUGCAGAGCGUUCUUGCCUGUGUACGUGUCACAGCCCAAAACCAUUUAUUUUCUUUACAAAUUUUAUAUAUGAAAAUUAUUUAAUUUUUAAGUUAUAGAGUUUUUGAAAUAUAUAUAGUAUCAAUUUUAUGUUAACUUAGUCGUGUCCCUAAUUAAAAGAAUGACUUUAAAAUAAAACUUAAGCCUUAAAAAUUUAAUCUACAUUCAUAUAUAACUGAAAUUACAUGCAUGUCUAAAUAUUAUUUAUAAUUAUCAAUAACAAGAUUAAUGAUUCUAUAUCUCUAUGUUUAUACAUGUAUUCACGUAUGACAUAGUAUAUAUUAGCUAUUAAGUUAAAAACUAAUAAAAUACUACACUUUUGCAUAGGAUAUAUAUUUAAUUAGUAGUAGGAUAGGACACGUGUAUUAAUUUUAAGGGCAAGUAAUCAAACUUUUGAAUGAUUCAUCAUGCUUAAAAAAAAAAGAGACCUAGAUAGAUGAUUCAUCAGAUUCAAAAACAAGUAUAAAUAGACUUCGGGUUUGAAAUUUUAAUUAAUUUGCAACAACAAUUCAAACUGACUGUAUUAAGGUAAGUAGUUACAGAUUUCAUACACAUAUUAUAUGAUUUCGCACACAUAUUAAGGUAAGUAUAUAUAAAUAUUUUUUAAAAUCAUAUAUUAUAUAAUAAUUAUAUUUAAGUUUUAUAUUAUUCUUUAUAAACUAUUGUUUCAUUCUAUAUAAUUAGGUGUGGCACGACUAGGACGUAACUUUCUAUUGAAUUUCUCAAGUUAAUCUUAGAGUUCAAGUUUCAGGUGUGAGAUUUAUUUAAAUACAUGUCGUACGUGGUUAUUUAUUGUCCAUUUUAAUAAGAUGUGUUUACCAUAUGUGUUAUGACGCAUAUUUUUAGGAUAUCACUAGGUGCCCAUAAAUAGGAUCCAGGACUUCACCGUCCUUGGAUUGCCACAAUGCGAUUUGAGGUUUAUUUUGAGGAUGUCGUUAGGGGCCCGUACAUAGGGUCCAGGACUUUAAUAGUCAUUGGGUUGCCAUAGUGCAAAUAUUGAGGAUAUAUAUGAAGUGACCGUAUGUGUUACCGUUUCAUUAACGUGGACAAUGAUUGCAUGUUUAAGAGACAAUAACCAAUUUUUCAGACAUUUGUGAACAAAAUGAAGCAUGUUUAGAGAUCCUUAAUACAGGUGUACGAAAUGAUGGAUAAAUAAGUUUGUGAAACAAAUUUCACCAUACCUAACCCCACAAUUAUUUGCGGUCGAAUUUCCUCGUCACAGGAAAAAGAGAUGAUGACAAAAGGGAAAAAAUUAAUUAACAAAGUAGAAGAUGCAUGACAACUGUAAAAGAAAAAUAAUGCUACUAAUUAAAUAGUCCAAACUUCAUACGUUUCAUAUCAUAAGUGGCAGUUCUAUUUUUUUUUUUGCGAAUGUGAACAAAAUAACGAAUAAUUUUUAAAGUAAUAGUAAUAAGGAGAUGUGUUUUGACAGAAAACGACAUGAGCGGCCUAAAAAUAAGAGGGAAAAAGAUAAUCAUAUAAAUAUUCAAAAUCAAACGGAUUGGCAUGUAUUCAUCAUUUUUUAUUUUUUAUUUUGAUAAUUUAACAGUACUCCCUCCGUCCGUCAAAAGUAGACCACUUUGGUUGGGCACGGGAUUUAAUAAAAUUAGUGAUGAUUUUGAUGUAGUAGAGAAAGAGUUCCACCACUUUAUGAGAUGUGUGGUUGAGAUUGAAUUUGUUGUGAUUUUUUUGUAAAUAAAGAGUGUUUGUAAGGAUAAAAGAUUAAAGUGGGUGGUGGGACCAUUUCCAUAAAAGGAAAGUGGUCUACUAUUUGCGGACGCCCAAUAUAGUAAAAGUAGUCUACUUUUGGCGGACGGGGAGAGUAUUAAAUAAAUAAAUUUAAAGGUUGCACCCCUUACUGCUUGGCUUUUAGAUUAUGUUAUAAUAAUAAAAUUAACAGCACGUUUACAAUAUAAAAUUAAUUAUGAUAAAUACAAUAUAUUAAUAAUAAAUACUCAAUUACCUCUUAACAUAAUUCGCGCAUCAUGGCUUUUAGCUUAUAUUAUAAAGAUAUAAUAUGUUGUCUAUAAUAAUCGACGGAAGGUAAUAGACAACAUGUUUUAUAUGUUGUCUAUAAUAAUAUAGACAGUAGAUCUAGUGUUAUAGAUAACAAUUAAUACUUGUUGUCUAUAUGAUGAUAGACACCAAAAAUCUCUGUUGUCUAUUCUAUGACAAAAAAAUUUAAAAAAAUUCUAAUAUAUUUACAUCCCUGUAUUACAAUACCAAUAUAUAUGAAAAAAUAAAAAUAAUUAAAAAUCAAAUAAUCAAACAAUACUUAUAAACCACUAAUACUCACAAUCAAAUAUUUACACAUCAACAACUGUAUUAUCUUUAAUUACGCCUUCAUUUAUCUAUUAAAAAAAAUCUCUAAUAAAAUCUCUAACUAACUCCGGUCAUCAUCUCUUGAAGGCUUAGAAAAUGUCCAAAUACAGCGGCACAUGCUCAUUAUUGUGUGAGCGAUGAGAACUUUGCGCUGAACCUAUAAAGUAACUAUACUUAACUGGUAAAGUAAUUGUAUCCCGUGAAUCUAAAGGAAGACUACACACGUUGAUAGAGUUUGAAAGAAAAGAAUAAAGAGAAUGAAAAUCCAAAGAAUUUGCUUCUUCCGUUGAACAAUCCCUACACAACAUUGAAAUAUCAAUGAAAAUAAUGGCUAUCGUAUACUCCCUCCAUCCAUGAAAGAACUUCAUAGGAGGGAGUGACACGGGUUUUAAGAAAAAAUAUUGUUAAGUGUAUUGAGAGUGGAUAAAAGGUAGUUGAGUGUAUUGGGAGUGGUGAAAAUGUGUUAUAGUUAAUAUUGAGAGUUGUGAAAAGUGAAAAGUAAGAGGAUUAUAAGUGGUGGGGUAUAGUCCAAAAAUAGGUAGGAAGUUCUUUUGUGGACGUCCCAAAAAGGAAAGAUAUGAAGUUCUUUCGUGGACGGAGGGAGUAUUAUUUUGCAGCAGCAACCACGUUUGAAAACUCGAUCCCUCUGUUCUUGAAUUUGUGAAAUUUCCGACUGAUUUAUUAGAUUCACCAUUUAUUUCAGUUUAAUUAGUCUAUAUAUAGAUAUUUCUUAUAUUAUUAAAUUGUUAACCUCAUGGUAGAUUUCAAGAUUUGAAAAUUCAACAAAGAGCUUGAGAAUUAUUGAGAUUGGAAGGGGAAGAUGAAACAUAAUUGGGUGAAAUUAGAAACCAAUUAAAGUCACAAGAUUGAACAAAAACAUAACUUAAAAACACAAAAUAAGCAAAUCGUAGAUGCAGUAUCUUGCAAGAAAAAGUUCAUAUUCCCAAGGCUAUGAUGAGCACGAAUUAGGGUGUGUCUGCAUUUUAUCCCUCUAAAUAGAGGAAUAACAAAAUUUUAUUCUUUAAAUGUUUGCUUUCUUAUCACACAUUCUACACAAACACCAUUUUUUCUUCCUUAUUUUCACUUCAAGGAGGANUAAUAUUAUCCCUCCAAUUUUGGUGUGAUAAUAUUAUCUCUUCUUGAAGUGAAAAUAAGGAAGAAAAAAUGGUAUUUGUGUAGGAUGUGGGAUAAGAAAGCAAACAUUUAAAGGUAUAAAUUUUUGUUAUUCCUCAUUUAGAGGAAUAAAAAGCAAACACACAUUAGAGUCUACUUACAAUUUAGGCGCAGGCUGUGCGAGAAUUACUUAGUCGAAUAGGAUCCUAAGUAUUUAUAUUUCUCAUGUUCUUGUGUAUUUUUUUACUGAUUCACUAUUGGAUUAACAAGAAUUAUCUUACUUUAAAUUUCUUGCUUUAAAAAAAAAAAAGAAUUAUCUUACUUCAUGUAUGGUAUGCCAACUGUUCGAUAAAGGUCCUUUUAGAAAUCUUCUAUUGAUUACCUUGCGAAGACCACAAAACUAGACACACCCAAAAGCAUUCUUGCAUAGUUUAUACAUAGAGAUGGCCGAUUGAUGAUCGUCUUAUUUGUAGACUUAACGCGAGCAGACUCGAUCGCUUAGUCCUUAUUGAUUUACGACACACAUGCUCACACACACACAUACACACAUCACAAAAUCACACAAAUUGACGGAUAAUGUUGCCGUUCAGCUCCUUCCUGAACCUCACCGCGGCAUUUUUCUGCACCAUAGUGGCCGUGAAAUACCACGAGACGAUGUCAUGGACGGCGACGUGUUGUCCGGUGGCGGCGGAUAGCCCGACCUGAACCUGCUGAGGAACAAAGUCGCUCAAAUCGUACUCAUAGUUGACAUCAAAUGUCUGCGAGCCGGCGGUGACUUUCACGGAGAUCAUCCUUGUGGCUCCGACGUAGUUGAUCCGCGCAGUCACCUGCUGCCCGAGUAUGGAGUUGUCGACCUUCGUCGUGUUGCUGGAUGCCCUAGAGCCGAAGUCGAUGCCGAUGUGGGGAUAGAGCGGAUCCCACGCGCCGUUGACGUAGGUGUCGAUUUCGACGGCGAAGACCGAGGGGCUGUUGCCGUUGGAGCCAAAGAUUCCGAGGUUGGCUCCGUUGGAGCCAGGGGGGAUGGUGGAACCGACGGGGGCAAUGAAGAAGGCGAGGCCGUCGGCAGGCUCGUUGUCGGCGCCCGGGGUGAUGAUGAAGUUCACAGUGGUUUCGAAGUCGACCUGCCCACCGGACUGCGAGAAUUGGACCGGGUUCGAGUGCAAGACGCGGCCGACUUGUGAGGGCUGUGCGUCUGUGAGGCGGAGGAAGGUGGAGUCCGUCGGGAAAUGGGCGCUGCCUUGAUAGAUGAGAUCUUUCGGCUGGUCGCCCCAGAAGUCGUAGGUGAAGGACGUCGUUUGGGACAACGCCGUGUUGGAAACGGCGAGGAGGAGGGCGAUGGAGGCGAGGAGAGGAGUUAAGGUUUGAACAAGCUGGUUGGCCAUGGCUUAAUUGAUUUAGAUUUAGAUUUAGAGAUGUGGUGGAUGAUGGUGGCCAGGUAUCGAUCUCUUGCACCUAUUUAUACUAGUAUGGUUCAUGCCUGUUAAUAAUUGUAUAUAUCAAUCAAUCAUCGUGCAUCUAUCCCAAAUUAUAUGUCUUAUUAUUCACUAAUUAGAUGGAAUAAAUCCUAAUUAGCAAUCUUAAAAUUACACCGCCAAUGAGGCCUUGCUCUAGUGGUAAAGCUGUGGCACCGAAUAACUUUUCUUUGUGAAAGGUCUUGGGUUCAAUCUCGCCUGCAUGCGGUGAUGUUUGUCCAUUUUAGAUGGUGUGGUAUUCUUGCCUGCGUGCGGUGUUGUAUUAUUUAGUCUUAGGCGUUCUUGCCUGUGUGCAUAUCACUGUGUGACAAUUAAAAGAAUGACUUUAAAAUAAAAGUUAAGCCUUAAAAAUUUAAUCUACAUUCAUAUAUAACUGAAAUUACAUGCAUGUCUAAUUUUUUUAAUAUCAUAACAAGAUAAGAUUUAUUAAAUAAUUCAGAUGCAUAAAUAAAAAGUUAAUCUAUAAACACAGUAUAGAUAUAUUAUCAAUGAUAGGCCGUGUAUAAGUCUUAAUCUGUAAAACUAUAUCAUCCCAGCCUUAAACGACUACCAUUCCUGCUUUCCCAGAGCAACCACACUGUUCCCACCCACAAAGCUUUAAGCAGUACAUGCAUGUCUAAAUAUUAUUUAUAAUUAUCAAUAACAAGAUUAAUGAUUCUAUAUCUCUAUGUUUAUACAUAUAUUCACGUAUGACAUAGUAUAUAUUAGCUAUUAAGUUAAAAACUAAUAAAAUACUACAGUUUUGCAUAGGAUAUAUAUUUAAUUAGUAGUAGGAUAGGACACGUGUAUUAAUUUUAAGGGCAAGUAAUCAAACUUUUGAAUGAUUCAUCAUGCUUAAAAAAAAAAAGAGACCUAGAUAGAUGAUUCAUCAGAUUCAAAAACAAGUAUAAAUAGACUUCGAGUUUGAAAUUUUAAUUAAUUUGCAACAACAAUUCAAACUGACUGUAUUAAGGUAAGUAGUUACAGAUUUCAUACACAUUAUAUGAUUUCGCGCACAUACGUAUGUAUAUAUAAAUAUUUUUUAAAAUCAUAUACUCCCUCCGUCCCCAAAAUAAGUUCCUCUUUGGGGACGGCACGGAUUUUAAGGAAAAGUGGUAAAGUGUAUUAAUAGUGGAGAAAAAUAUGUUAUAAUUAGUAUUGGAAGUUGUGAAAAGGUGAAAAAGUGUUAUAAUUAGUAUUGGGAGUGGUGAAAAAGUGAAAAGUAAGAAUAAAUAAAGUAUUAUUAGUGGUGGGGUAGUUGUCCAAAAAUGGAAAAAAAGAAAGAGGAACUUAUUUGGGGGACAUCCCAAAAUGGAAAAAGAGGAACUUAUUUCAGGGACGGAGGGAGUAUUAUAUAAUAAUUAUAUUUAAGUUUUAUAUUAUUCUUUAUAAACUAUUGUUCCAUUCUAUAUAAUUAGGUGUGGCACGACUAGGACGUAACUUUCGAUUGAAUUUCUCAAGUUAAUUUUCAAGUUCAAGUUUCAGGUGUGAGAUUUAUUUAAAUACAUGUCAUGAUUAUUCAUUGUCCAUUUUAAUAGUAUGUGUUUACCAUAUGUGUUAUGACGCAUAUUUUGAGGACAUCGCUAGGAGCCCAUAAAUAGGGUCCAGGACUUCACCGUCCUUGGAUUGCCACAAUGCGAUUUGAGGUUUAUUUUGAGGAUGUCGUCAGGGGCCCGUAAAUAGGGUCCAGGACUUUAAUAGUCAUUGGGUUGCCACAGUGCGAAUAUUGAAGAUAUAUAUGAAGUGACCGUAUGUGUUACCGUUUCAUUAACGUGGACAAUGAUUGCAUGUUUAAGAGACAAUAACCAAUUUUUCAGACAUUUGUGAACAAAAUGAAGCAUGUUUAGAGAUCCUUAAUAAAGGUGUACGAAAUGAUGGAUAAAUAAGUUUGUGAAACAAAUUUCACCAUACCUAACCCCACAAUUAUUUGCGGUCGAAUUUCCUCGUCACAGGAAAAAGAGAUGAUGACAAAAGGGCAAAAAUUAAUUAACAAAGUAGAAGAUGCAUGACAACUGUAAAAGAAAAAUAAUGCUACUAAUUAAAUAGUCCAAACUUCAUACGUUUCAUAUCAUAAGUGGCAGUUCUAUUUUUUUUUUGCGAAAGUGAACAAAAUAACGAAUAAUUUUUAAAGUAAUAGUAAUAAGGAGAUGUGUUUUGACAGAAAACGACAUGAGCGGCCUAAAAAUAAGAGGGAAAAAGAUAAUCAUAUAAAUAUGGGUUAAUUGCCUCUAAAUACACCACCUUUCCUUGAAUUCUACAAUUGCACAUCACCUUUAAAAUCCGCCCUUAAAUACACCACCUUUCCUUGAGUUCUACAAUUGCACAUCACCUUUAAAUCCGCCCCAAAAUACAUCAUCUUUAUAUUUUUUCUGUUUUUGCACAUGACUAAAAAAUUCUCAAGAAAUAAAUUAAAGUGUUAAUUUAUAAAUUUAAAUAUCUUUUUAGCAGCGAAAACAUAAUAAAAUAAAAUUCUUUAUAAAGUUUAAAAUCAUAUAUAUAUAUAUAUAUAUAUAAGUAUUUUCGUAAAGAAAUAAAUUCUCUAAUAAAUUUUUAGAAAGAACUUGAAUUAAAAAAAUAAACAAGUCAUGACAUUAAGAAAAUAAAAUGAAAUUUUUAUUUUAAUAAAUUUCACACGAAUUCGAUAUAAUUUGGAAUUUAGAGUUACAAUAAUCAGAAGUACCACAUGAAUAAUAUAAUGAGUUUGAAAGAAAUUUUUUUUAAAGAGGUUCGACACGCCCAUUCGACUUUCCACGCGCCUCCAAUGUCAUUUACCUGAAAUAUUAANUAUAUAAGUAUUUUUCGUAAAGAAAUAAAUUCUCUAAUAAAUUUUUAGAAAGAACUUGAUUAAAAAAUAAACAAGACAUGACAUUAAGAAAAUAAAAUGAAACUUUUAUUUUAAUAAAUUUCACACGAAUUCGAUAUAAUUUGGAAUUUAGAGUUACAAUAAUAAAAAGAACCACAUAAAUAAUAUAAUCAGUUUGAAAGAAAUAUAUAUAUAUUUUUUUAAAGAGGUUCGACGCGCCCAUUCGACUCUCCACGCGCUACCAAUGUCAUUACCUGAAAUACUAAAUAUGGGAUAAGCAUACAUAAUAUACUUAGUGUGGGAACAUGCAAUUAUUGUCCACGUUAAUAAAAUAGUAACACAUACGAUCAUAACAUUCAAAACGACACAAUUUUGCCAAUAUGGAAGCCACGUCAUUUAAAGUGGUAACACCCUAAUCUAACUAAAGUGUUAAAUAUAAAUUUAAAGCGGAAAUAUAAUAAAAUAAAGUUCUUUAUAAAAAUAAAUAAAGAAUUUUAUUUUAUUAUAUUUCCGCUGCUAAAAAAGAUAUUUAAAAUUUAUAAAUUAACACUUUAAUUUAUUUCUUGAGGAUUUUUAAGUCAUGUGCAAAAACAGAAAAAAAAUAUAAAGGUGAUGUAUUUUGGGGCGGAUUUAGAAUUCAAGGAAAUGUGGUGUAUUUAGGGGCGGAUUUUAAAGGUGAUGUGCAAUUGUAGAAUUCAAGGAAAGGUGGUGUAUUUAGGGGAAAUUAACCCUAUAAAUAUUCAAAAUCAAACGGAUUGGCAUGUAUUCAUCAUUUUUUAUUUUUUAUUUUGAUAAUUUAACAGUAUUAAAUAAAGAAAUUUAUAGGCUGCGUCCCUUACUGCUUGGCUUUUAGAUUAUGUUGUAAUAAUAAAAUUAAAAGCACGUUUACAAUAUAAAAUUAAUUAUGAUAAAUACAAUAUAUUAAUAAUAAAUACUCAAUUACCUCUUAACAUAAUUCGCGCAUCAUGGCUUUUAGCUUAUAUUAUAAAGAUAUAAUAUGUUGUCUAUAAUAAUCGACGGAAGGUAAUAGACAACAUGUUUUACUUCUUGUCUAUAAUAAUAUAGACAGUAGAUCUAGUGUUAUAGAUAACAAUUAAUACGUGUUGUCUAUAUGAUGAUAGACACCAAAAAUCUCUGUUGUCUAUUCUAUGACAAAAAAAUUUAAAAAAAUUCUAAUAUAUUUACAUCCCUGUAUUACAAUACCAAUAUAUAUGAAAAAAUAAAAAUAAUUAAAAAUCAAAUAAUCAAACAAUACUUAUAAACCACUAAUACUCACAAUCAAAUAUUUACACAUCAACAAUUGUAUUAUCUUUAAUUACGCCUUCAUUUAUCUACUAAAAAAAAUCUCUAAUAAAAUCUCUAACUAACUCCGGUCAUCAUCUCUUGAAGGCUUAGAAAAUGUCCAAAUACAGCGGCACAUGCUCAUUAUUGUGUGAGCGAUGAGAACUUUGCGCUGAACCUAUAAAGUAACUAUACUUAACUGGUAAAGUAAUUGUAUCCCGUGAAUCUAAAGGAAGAAUAAACACGUUGAUAGAGUUUGAAAGAAAAGAAUAAAGAGAAUGAAAAUCCAAAGAAUUUGCUUCUUCCGUUGAACAAUCCCUACACAACGUUGAAAUAUCAAUGAAAACAAUGGCUAUCCUAUACUCCCUCCAUCCAUGAAAGAACUUCCUAGGAGGGAGUGACACGGGUUUUAAGAAAAAAUAUUGUUAAGUGUAUUGAGAGUGGAUAAAAGGUAGUUGAGUGUAUUGGGAGUGGUGAAAAUGUGUUAUAGUUAAUAUUGAGAGUUGUGAAAAGUGAAAAGUAAGAGGAUUAUAAGUGGUGGGGUAUAGUCCAAAAAUAGGUAGGAAGUUCUUUUGUGGACGUCCCAAAAAGGAAAGAUAUGAAGUUCUUUCGUGGACGGAGGGAGUAUUAUUUUGCAGCAGCAACCACGUUUAAAAACUCGAUCCCUCUAUUCUUGAAUUUGUGAAAUUUCCGACUGAUUUAUUAGAUUCACCAUUUAUUUCAGUUUAAUUAGUCUAUAUAUAGAUAUUUCUUAUAUUAUUAAAUUGUUAACCUCAUGGUAGAUUUCAAGAUUUGAAAAUUCAACAAAGAGCUUGAGAAUUAUAGAGAUUGGAAGGGGAAGAUGAAACAUAGUUGGGUGAAAUUAGAAACCAAUUAAAGUCAGGAGAUUGAAGAAAAACAUAACUUAAAAACACAAAAUAAGCAAAUCGUAGAUGCAGUAUCUUGCAAGAAAAAGUUCAUAUUCCCAAGGCUAUGAUGAGCACGAAUUAGGGUGUGUCUGCAUUUUAUCCCUCUAAAUGGAGGAAUAAUAAAAUUUUAUGCCUUUAAAUGUUUGCUUUCUUAUCACACAUUCUAAACAAACACCAUUUUUUCUUCCUUAUUUUCACUUCAAUGAGGGAUAAUAUUAUCCCUCCAAUUUUGGUGUGAUAAUAUUAUCCCUCCUACAAGUGAAAAUAAGGAAGAAAAAAUGGUACUCCCUUCGUCCCAAACGAAAUGUCCUGUUUUCCUUUUUGGGCUGUCCCAAACGAAAUGUCCUGUUUCCUUUUUUGGCAAUACACUCUCUCUCUAUACUUAAUAUUUAAAUAAUUUUCACCAACCCACUUUAUCUACUUUAUACACAUUUCUUAAUCUCCGUGCCGAAAAGAAAUGGGACAUUUCGUUUGGGACGGAGGGAGUAUUUGUGUAGGAUGUGGGAUAAGAAAACAAACAUUUAAAGACAUAAAUUUUUGUUAUUCCUCCAUUUAGAGGGAUAAAAAGCAAACACACCUUAGAGUCUAAUUACAAUUUAGGCGCAGGCUGUGUGAGAAUUACUUAGUCGAAUAGGAUCCUUAGUAUUUAUAUUUCUCAUGUUCUUGUGUAUUUUUUCACUGAUUCACUAUUGGAUUAACAAGAAUUAUCUUACUUUAAAAAAAAAAAAGAAAUGAUCUUACUUCAUGUAUGGUAUGCCAACUGUUCGAUAAAGGUCCUUUUAGAAAUAUUCCAUAGAUUACCUUGCAAAGACCACAAAACUAGACACACCCUGCAUAGUUUAUACAUAGGGAUGGCCGAUUGAUGAUCGUCUUAUUUGUAGACUUAACGAGAGCAGACUCGAUCGCUUAGUCCUUACUGAUUUACGACACACAUGCACACAUACACAGAUACACACAUCACAAAAUCACGCAAAUUGACGGAUAAUGUUGCCGGCCAGCUCCUUCCUGCUCCACGCCACGGCAUUUUUCUGCACCAUGGUGGCCGUGAAAUACCACGAGACGAUGUCAUGGGUGGCGACGUGUUGUCCGGUGGCGGCGGAUAGCCCGACCUGAACCUCCUGAGCAACAAAGUAGCUCAAAUCGUACUCAUAGCUGACAUCAAACGUCUGAUUGCCGGCGGUGACUUUGACGGAGAUCAUCCUUGUGGCUCCGACGUAGUUGAUCCGCGCAGUUACCUGCUGCUUGAGUAUGGAGCUGUCGACCGGCGUCGUCUUGCUGGAUACCCUAGAGCCGAAGUCGAUGCCGAUGUGGGGAUAGAGCGGAUCCCACGCGCCGUUGACGUAGGUGUCGAUUUCAACGGCGAAGACCCCGGGGCUGUUGCCGUUGGAGCCAAAGAUUCCGAGAUUGGCUCCGUCGGAGCCAGGGGGGAUGGUGGAGUCGACGGGGGCAAUGAAGAAGGCGAGGCCGUCGGCAGGCUCGUUGUCGGCGCCGGGGGUGAUGAUGAAGUUCACGGUGGUUUCGAAGUCGACCUGCCCAUUGGACAUCCAGAAUUGGACCGGUUCCGAGUACAUGACGCGGCCGACUUGGGACGGUUGUGCGUCUGUGAGGCGGAGGAAGGUGGAGUCCGUCGGGAAAUGGGCGUUGCCUUGAUAGAUGAGAUCUUUCGGCUGGUCGCCCCAGAAGUCGAAGGUGAACGACGUCGUUUGGGACAACGCCGUGUUGGAAACGGCGAGGAGGAGGGCGAUGGAGGCGAGGAGAGGAGUUAAGUUGGCCAUGGCUUAAUAGAUUUAGAUUUAGAGAUGUGGUGGAUGAUGGUGGUAUCGAUCUGUUGCACCUAUUUAUACUAGUAUGGUUCAUGCCUGAUAAUAAUUGUAUCAAUCAAUCAUCGUGCAUCUAUCCCAAAUUAUAUGUCUUAUUAUUCACUAAUUAGAUGGAAUAAAUCCUAAUUUGCAAUCUUAAAAUUAAACCGCCAAUGAGGCCUUGCUCUAGUAGCAAAGCUGUGGCACCCAAUAACUUUUCUUUGUGAAAGGUCUUGGGUUCAAUCUCGCCUGCAUGCGGUGAUGUUUGCCCACUUUAGGUGGUGUGGUAUUCUCGCCUGCGUGCGGUGUUAUAUUGUUUAGUGUUAAGGUCCCACAUGCAGGGCGUUCUUGCAUGUGUGCGUGUCACAACCCAAAACCAUUUAUUUUCUUUACAAAUUUUAUAUGAAAAUUAUUUGAUUUUUAAGUUAUAGAGUUUUCGAUAUAUAUACAUAUAGUGUCAAUUUUAUGUUAACUUAGUCGUGUCCCUAAUUAAAAGAAUGAAUUUGAAAUAAAAGUUAAGCCUUAAAAAUUUAAUCUACAUUCAUAUAUAACUGAAAUUACAUGCAUGUCUAAAUAUUAUUUAUAAUUAUCAAUAACGGGAUUAAUGAUUCUAUAUCUCUAUGUUUAUACAUAUAUUCACGUAUGACAUAGUAUAUAUUAGCUAUUAAGUUAAAUAAAAUACUACAGUUUUGCAUAGGAUAUAUAUUUAAUUAGUAGUAGGAUAGGACACGUGUAUUAAUUUUAAGGGCAAGUAAUCAAACUUUUGAAUGAUUCAUCAUGCUUAAAAAAAAGAGACCUAGAUAGAUGAUUCAUCAGAUUCAAAAACAAGUAUAAAUAGACUUCGAGUUUGAAAUUUUAAUUAAUUUGCAACAACCAUUCAAACUGACUGUAUUAAGGUAAGUAGUUACAGAUUUCAUACACAUUAUAUGAUUUCGCGCACAUACGUAUGUAUAUAUAAAUAUUUUUUAAAAUCAUAUAUUAUAUAAUAAUUAUAUUUAAGUUUUAUAUUAUUCUUUAUAAACUAUUGUUCCAUUCUAUAUAAUUAGGUGUGGCAUGACUAGGACGUAACUUUCGAUUGAAUUUCUCAAGUUAAUCUUCAAGUUCAAGUUUCAGGUGUGGGAUUUAUUUAAAUACAUGUCGUGGUUAUUUAUUAUCCAUUUUAAUAAUAUGUGUUUACCAUAUGUGUUAUGAUGCAUAUUUUGAGGAUAUCGCUAGGGGCCCAUAAAUAGGGUCCAGGACUUCACCGUCCUUGGAUUGCCACAAUGCAAUUUGAGGUUUAUUUUGAGGAUGUCGUCAGGGAUCCGUAAAUAGGGUCCAGGACUUUAAUAGUCCUUGGGUUGCCACAGUGCGAAUAUAUUGAGGAUAUAUAUGAAGUGACCGUAUGUGUUACCGUUUCAUUAACGUGGACAAUGAUUGCUUGUUCUCACACUGAGUGUACUCUGUAUGCUCAUCCCAUAUUUAACGUGGAAGGUCGAUUGACGAAUCAAAUAUUUUGUAUUUAGCUUUACCUAAAUAUGUUAUUUUGAGUAAAGUAUUUUAAAUAAAAAUUUAUUUCAUAAUUUUCUCAUUAAAUAUUUAUUUAUAUUCAUAGCUUUUCCGCACAAAUAUUUAUUUAAAUUUUAAUUAGAUUUGGGUGUCACUGUGCGGUGAUGUUUUUCCACCGUUUCGGUGGUGGUGAGGCCCCACCUGCGUGCACGUUAUAUACUUGAUUAUAUUCAGAUACCUCUUGUAAUUUUUAAAAAAAUAAUCAUAAAAUUAAACCAAAGCAUAUAAAAUUGAAAUUGGCCAAAAAAAUAUAUAAAAAUAAAUAAAAUUAAAAAUGGGAUAUAAAGUGAGACAUUAAAUGUGGUACACUACUGAAUCUCAAUCCAACACGUGGAUGCUACAUUGUACUUGUCGGAAUAUUAGAACUUCUACAAAAUAUUGCUAUUGGAAACGUGAAAUUUUAUUAUGAGAAAACUUAUACCUGACCCCACAGUCGUGGGCACGUGUUAUGUUGCGCGGAAAUUAAAGUGGUGGGGACCGUAAAUGGUAUUUUAGUCUUUUAAUUUAUUUUAGUAUACAAAAGAGUUAAUUUUAAAGAGGCGCUAAAAAACACAUCACUUUUAAAAAUUGGUAUUUAAAAUCUUGAACCCCUUUUAUUAUUUUAGAAAGAUAUUAAUUAAUUGAUAAAUUAAUAAAUUAUUAAUUGAAACAAUUAUUUUAAGCAAAUUUAAUUAUAAUUACCUAAAAAUUUAAAAAACAUAAAUUCAAUACCAUUCAAAUUCAACAAACUAACUUAAAUUUUUACUUUAAAAAAUCUUCAUCAAUCUUGCAAUCUCGGCUUGGACUAUAAAUGUUCAACAAGAGACAAUAACCAAUUUUUCAGACAUUUGUGAACAAAAUGAAGCAUGUUUAGAGAUCCUUAAUAAAGGUGUACGAAAUGAUGGAUAAAUAAGUUUGUGAAAAUUUCACCAUACCUAACCCCACAAUUAUUUGCGAUCGAAUAUCCUCGUCACAGGAAAAAGAGAUGAUGACAAAAGGGAAAAAAAAAUUAACAAAGUAGAAGAUGCAUGACAACUGUCAAGAUAAAUAAUGUUACUAAUUAAAUAAUCCAAACUUUAUACGUUUCAUAUCAUAAGUGGCAGUUCUAUAUUUUUUGCGAAAGUGAACAAAAUAACGAAUAAUUUUUAAAGUAAUAGUAAAAGGAGAUGUGUUUUGACAGAAAACGACAUGAGCGGCCUAAAAAUAAGAGGGAAAAAGAUAAUCAUAUAAAUAUUCAAAAUCAAACGGAUUGGCAUGUAUUCAUCAUUUUUUAUUUUAAUAAUUUAACAGUAUUAAAUCAAGAAAUUUAAAGACCGCGCCCCUUACUGCUUGGCUUUAAGAUUAUGUUACAAUAAUAAAAUUAACAGCACGUUUACAAUAUAAAAUUAAUUAUGAUAAAUGCAAUAUAUUAAUAAUAAAUACUCAAUUACCUCUUAACAUAAUUCGCGCAUCAUGGCUUUUAGCUUAUGUUAUAAAGAUGGAGUAUAAAAUAAUCAUCACCUGUGCAUGAUAUUUCACAAAAUAAUUAAAUAAUAAAAUAAUCAAUCAUAAUGCCAAGACGUGACUCUUGUCGGUCAUAUCUCAUCAACUUUAUCUAUAUAGUACAAUGAUGAUUAAUUUGAGAACGACGAUUAAGACACCAACUAUUCUUGUGGGGACACAUGCAUAUAUAGAAUUAAUAUUAUAAACUCUCUCGGUCCACGAAAUAACUUACUAUUUUUUCUUUUAAGAACGUGAACAAAAAAAAUUCCCAUCGAUAUUUCGGAACUAUACCCCACUACUUUAAAAUACCUCAUUUUACCCUUUCUUUUUCACAAAAACAACAAAUUACUAAUAAUUUUUCACUAUUCCUAAUAUACUGAACAAUUUUUCUCCACUCUCAAAUUUUGUAGCACCGAAUAAAAUUAAAUACUAGUAUUAUUUUUUGUAGAACUAUAAAUAAAUAUUAUUCUCAAAACAUGUACUAUUACUUACUAUUUUUUUUAAAUGUGGGACGACCAAAAAAGGAAAGAUGAAUUCUAAAAGCUGGGACAGAGGAUAUAUUAUUUUUCUUCUUGGUUCUGAAGUAUGAAUAUUAAUUAACAAUUCUUCGUCCACAUCAAGCUCACCUUCACGUAAUUUUUUCUUGAACAACACCGAAAAAUAUAUAAUCCCAACAUAGCAUGAUCAAUCUCAAUGCACCAAACAUAAAUUAGUUUUAAAAUAAUAAUAAGAUUAACUACUAUAUUGCUGAAUUAUGCAGUAGAAUUAAAAGCGUGAUUUUUUUUUAAUAGAGCAGGUUAAUCUAGGCCUACCUGAACCAUCUGACUAUGCAUGAGUUUGAUUUUUCUUCUUGAUCUUUUUUAAUUUUACCGACAAAGAAGAUUUUCACAAAUGAAAAGAAAACGUUCUAGUAACAUACUACAUGCUUACUUCAGAUUUGCAACCAAGUCUAUUGAGGGUUUUAUUUGCUACAUAUAUAAACACAAGGAUUUGGUUUGAUACAAAUUAAGAAUAUUCAACUUUCAUCGGCUCAAGCACAUAGAAUCUCCCCGAGUAGUUAUAACUGGUCAAUGUUUUUGCCGAUAAAAAGGAAAAGGAAAGAAAAAAGAAAGAAGCAAGACGGAGAAAAAGUUGUAGUAAAUGAUUAUGCGAUGAAAAGAAAAUGGAAAAGAGAAAGAAAGAAGAAAGUUGUAGGAAUUUUGAAGAAUUUGUACUUAUUUAGAAUUGUGGUUAUUGUGGGAUCUUGUAUAAUAAUAAUAAUAAUAAUAAUAAUAAUAAUAAUAAUUAUUGGGCCGUUCCACGAAUCUUGGCACAUUUUCAAAUAAGGUAAUAAUUCAUUCUCUCUCUUACUUUAUCACUUUAAUACUUUAUUAACUACAAACUUAAAACACUAAUAUACAAUUCCUUAAUUCCCGUGUCGAAACCAAACGUGUCAAGAUUCGUUGGAUGGAGGGAGUAAUAAUAAUAAUAAUAAUAAUAGUAAUAAUAAUAAUAAUAAUAAUAAUAAUACAUCAUUGCCCUUUAAAAAGUUUUAAAAUAGGAACAUAAUAUGUAAAUCUAAUUUUGUAAAAGAAGCUCUUCUAUAGUAAUAGUUAUAGAUUUGGUGUGGAGGCAUUUGUUUGAGAAUGGGUAAAACAUACCAUUAACCCUUUGAUAUAUGCACGAGACACUUAUUUGUGGAUAGGACAAGAAUUAUUUUGUUGCAUAGGAUCCCUUCCAAAUGUAAUUACUGAUUCACAAUUGGAUUAACAAGAAUUAACUUACUUCAUAUUCAGUAUUCCAACUGUUCGAUAAAAGUUCUUAAUGAAAUCUUCCAUAGAUUACCCAAAUGCAUUGUUUUGCAUAGUCCGUACAUUGAGAUGGUCGAGUAUCUUAUGUCUAGACUUAACGAGAGCAGACUCGAUCGCUUAGUCCUUAUUUAUUUACGACACACACACAUCUCAAAAUCACACAAAUUGACGAAUAAUGUUGCCAGCCAGCUCCUUCCUGUUCCACGCGCCAGCAUUUGUCUUCACCAUGGUGGCUGUGAAAUACCAUGAGAUAAUAUCAUGUUUGGCGACGUAUGGUUGGUUUAGUCCGCUGGCGGCGGAGAGCCCUACCUGAACCUGCUCAGGAAGAAACUCGCCCAAAUUGUACACAUGGCUGACCUCAAACGUCUUCGAGCCGGCGGUGGCACUGACGGUGAUCAUCUUCGUGGCUCCGACGUAGUUGAUCCGCGCAGUCACCUGCUGUCCGACUAUGGCGUCUCCGACAUUCGUCGUGUUGCUGGAUUCCCUAGAUCCGAGGUCGAUGCCGAUGUGGGGAUAGUUCGGAUCCCACGGGCUGUUGAUGAAGGUGUCGAACUCGACGGCGAAGACCGAGGGGCUAUUGCCGUUGGAGCCGAAAAUUCCGAGGUUGGCCCCAACAGCGCCACUGGGGAUGGUGGAGCCGACGGGGGCAAUGAAGAAAGCGAGGCCGUCAGCGGUUUUGCCAUCGGGGCUGGGUGUGAUGAUGAAGUUAAUGGUGGUUUCAAAGUCGACUUGGCCACCGGAUUGGGAGAACUGGACCGGCUUCGAGUACAAGACCCGGCCGACCUGGUAUGUCUCGAAGUCGGUGAGGCGGAGGAAGGUGGAGUCCGAUGGGAAAUGGGCGUGGCCUUGGUAGGUGAGAUCGGUCGGCUGGUCGCCCCAGAAGUCGUAGGUGAAGGACGUUGUUUGGGACCACACCGUGUUGGCAGCGGCGGCAAGGAGAAGGGCGAUGGAGAUUAGGGUUUGUUGAAGGUUGGCCAUCGCUUAAUUGAUUUGGAUGUGGUGGAUGAUGGUGGUAUCUUUAUCUUGCUUCUAUUUAUAGUAGUAUAACGAGCCCUAGUUAAUUAUCUUUAAAUCAUACUAAAAUAUCAUAAAUUAAAAUUGAAGAAAAAAAAGUUAAAACCUACUCUCGCAGUCCCUCAAAUAACUUCUUAGGAGAAGAGGGGUAGGAGUUUUAAGACGAAGUUAAUGUGCAAAGUAAGGAUAAA
rnacentral:lncRNA from 1 species